rnacentral:rRNA from 1 species
UCCUUAGAUGUUCUGGGCUGCACGCGUGCUACAAUGGCGUUUCCAGCAAGUCUGCGAACCCGAGAGGGCCAGCGGAUCUUCGAAUUGGCGUCGUGAUCGGGACAGUCGAUUGCAAUUAUUUGACUCAAACGAGGAAUUCCUUGUAAUCGCGAUUCAUCAUAUCGCGCUGAAUACGUCCCUGCCCUUUGUACACACCGCCCGUCGCUCCUACCGAUUGAGCGAUCCGGUAAAUGUUUUGGAUUGGUGCCGGGGCGGCUAGCUGCCGGUCGCUACGAAAUUUUGUGAACCUUAUCGCUUAGAGGAAGGAAAAGUCGUAACA